rnacentral:snoRNA from 1 species
CCGUUCUUGUGUUAUUCGCUAAGCGAUCACCCAAGCUCAGCGAUUGUCAAACAGAACGUAAAUUAACGGCCGCUAAUCACUCCACAAUGUUGAGCCGACUUGCCACGGCUACUGCAUUACUAUCCUAUGCGCCACAUU